rnacentral:rRNA from 1 species
GAUGAACGCUAGCGGCAGGCCUAAUACAUGCAAGUCGAACGGGAUUGGGGAGCUUGCUCCCCAUGAGAGUGGCGCACGGGUGCGUAACGCGUGCGCAACCUGCCCGUCCCAGGGGGAUAGCCCGUUGAAAGACGGAUUAACACCGCAUGACGUAGUUAACUGGCAUCAGUAUCCUACCAAGUAUUUAUAGGGGACGGAUGGGCUCGCGUGACAUUAGAUGGUUGGAGAGGUAUCGGCUCACCAAGGCGGCGAUGUCUAGGGGCUCUGAGAGGAGAAUCCCCCACACUGGUACUGAGACACGGACCAGACUCCUACGGGAGGCAGCAGUAAGGAAUAUUGGUCAAUGGGCGGAAGCCUGAACCAGCCAUGCCGCGUGCAGGAAGACGGCCCUACGGGUUGUAAACUGCUUUUGUAAGGGAAUAAUUCCUAUUAUGUAUAAUAGGUUGAAUGUACCGUAAGAAUAAGGAUCGGCUAACUCCGUGCCAGCCGCCGCCGUAA